rnacentral:lncRNA from 1 species
ACAGUUUCAUAAACAAACGAGUUUAUACACAAAGGCCAAUUCUACGUCUACUAACAAGAGGUCUAUCCCAAAAAGGGACUACUGAAUCACCGAGCUCCUGACCCAUCCGCCUCAAGCUCCGGGUUCUUAACACUAGAAACUUGAAAAUGGUAACCUACGACGAGGUGAGAUAUAAAUCUCAGCAAGUUCACGUCCUAAACCCUGAUUAGGAAGAUAAUACACCCAAAGGAAGCCUAUAGACACAACCAAUGAGACUCACCUCGCCUCAGUUCCUUCCUGCACAUUAGUACAGUUCGUAAAAUAUAUGCAUAUACUUAUUGCACUCAACAAUUGGAACAUCUCAUUCAAUCACAUCUCAAUCAAUCAAUCACAAAAGUCCCGAUUAUAAAGCCAAAUCGUUAUGACACAUCUCAUUCCAUGUCAAACAAUUUCAUCCUAUAAUCAGGCGCGGGUAAAUCAUAUCGGUGGUUUAAUCCACACCCAAUAUUCACUCUCAAAAAUCCAACUCCAACUCGAUAUCAGACUCAAGGCUCUAACUCAAUAACAAGCUCAAGGCUCUAGAGAUAGUUCCCACACGACUCAAGUCGCCAUGUAACACUUAGCCCUUGAUUACAAUAAGCAAUAGUCUAAGACUCCAGAGGUGACCCACAUGAAGUUUCGCCAUCGUGUAAUACUUAGUCCUUAACCACAUAACACACUAGUACAAGGCUCUAGAGGUGACCCACAUGAAGUUUCAUCCUCGUGUAGUACUUAGCCCUUGACCAUGCAUGACAACACUACAAGGCUCUAGAGGUAGUCCUCAUGCGACUCAAGUCGUCAUUUAACACUUAGCCAUUGUCUACAAUAAGCAAUAGUAGAAGACUCUAGAAGUGACCCACACGAGGUUUCAUUAUCGUGUAGUACUUAGUCCUUUACCUGUUCACAACCCAUUGGUUUCUUAACCCAACACAUGUCAUCUUAAUGUCCAAUAGUCACCUUACCAUGACUAUAAACCAUCACACGAUCAUCAAGUAUAAGCUCUAGGCAUAUCACAAACCAACCACAUCAUCCAAAUUGCACAAAUUGGCAAACAUUGCACCAAUAACACCAUAACCAUGGCAUAACCAUUCACGCCUCAACACGCAUAACCUCUAGGCAUAAUACAAAGAAACCACAUCACCAAAUGUGCAAUUUCUAGCAAGCAAAGCAUUGAGAACCAUCAUAAAACUAUAAUCGGUCCUAACCGGUAGAACAGUCCAGUCGCACAUCUCUAAGUUUAAAUCCAAAAACCCAAUUAAAUGAGUUUAGAAAAUUCCCAAAUUUGAAUAUGUUAUAAGAAAUACAUAAAAGAAAAUUUUUCAUGGAGACACCUUAACCCAGAUCCUUCUAGAUUCGGCCCAGUAAAUCGCUCAAUCUAGUACCAAAGCUGGGUCCGUUUUUAAAAAGUCUGUUUUCCAAAAUCAGUUUGGUUAGAGAUCCAAAACAUGUCUGUUUGAUCUGAAAUUGGAGUAUGUAAACCUAGAAGAUGUAACAAACAACUUUUGUGAAGAAACCAUUUUGAAAUUUGAACCCUAAGAGUUGACAAAAACCCCUAGAAUCCUAAAAGGUCACAAAUUCCAGCACAGUCUGAGGUUCUAUUUGCAAAUAACGAAGCUGAAUUCUCAUACUUUUAAUUCUCUAAAAAUCUUGAGUAAAAAAUAUAUGUUGUAGAUGAAGAUAUCUAAAACAUUUAUCAAAAAGACAUUAAUCUCAAAUUCAUAGCCCAUUUCAAUCUACAAAAAAGGCAAAUGGCAAGGGUCCAGAUAUCAAAACUGCAGAAAGUCCACUGGAUUCGACUAAUCCAUCAUCAAUGGUGCUAAUCUCACUAAUUAGAUUAACACUAACCUAUUUUAAGGCUAAUCUAACCAUUCUAGAUUAGUACUAAAUAAUUCUUAAGCUAAUCUAAAUAACCAUUAAGUAUAAUUAACCUCCUAAGCAAGGUUUAGUGAAUAAACUCACCGAUUUAGCGGUCCGGUGAGUCCACGGCAACGCGGAGAUGAGCAAAACUCAGGCUCACGGAAACACCAAUAGAGGCUCAAAUGAGCCUUAAAACCACCUUGCAAGGCCAAGGCUUGCUGCUAGAAAACCAAUCAUGUUCUGCUUCUGCUUGAGCUGCUGGUCAAGUGGCUGUUGGCGCGGCUUGGUGGUCUUGGCUCGAUGGGAUAGCAGCUAGACGAACAGGCGGAGCUGCUGGCGUAUCGACAAAUGAGCUGGUCGAGUUUUGGCGGGUGGGGGCUACUCUAGACGUGAAGAUGCAGCUGAGUGUUGUUGGUGCAGGGGCUGUUCUGGCUUGGGUCGUUGAUGAAGUUGGCUAGUACACAUGAGUGGAGAUGAGCUGGUGAAGGCGUGGGGUGAUGCUUGGAGUUGGCGAAGCUGGAGGUGGCGCUGAUGGGCUGGACUAUGGAGAGAUGGGUUGGUGGACAUGCAGCAAGAACAAAAUGAAGAGAAGCAAAAACCAGAGGAAAGAAUGAAGAAAAUGAGGAAGAA